rnacentral:lncRNA from 1 species
CUUACGAUUCCUUGUGGCAUCCAAAUCACCACUAAAUAUAGUUUUGUAUACCAUGAAAAGGGAAACAUGGUGAGUGGAAAAAAAAGAUUCAAGGAAAAACAGUGGAAGCAAGAGAUAGAGAGAGAGAGAGAAAGAAAGUGAAUGGAAAAGUGAACUUUUAUCAAGUCAAAGUUAUCCUGAAAAGUUACCUUCCAAUAGUGUGUGUGUGUUGAGCGUAUUUACAGUUGGAAACCUUUUCUUUUUAUUUUUGCACUUCACCAUCUAAAGGACAAAAUGUUUGAUCCCAGUUUAUCACCAUCUUCAUCAUCACCAAGUUGCCUCCUUUCCAACCUCAUCCUGAACCGACUCUCUCACCCAGAAUACACACACAAAACUCACACUCCCAGUGAUAGCUGACUCUGAUUCGGAACUUGACAAUCACAAUGAACAACAAUCAACUGCCACAGUCAACAAUAUCAAACUAAAAUUUUGACAAGUUUAACAAAUCAGUAAACACUUUCACCUUGCUCCUCUAAUUUUCAUCAACAUCAACCUUAAUACAAGUGAAUUUAAAAUUCAAGUGUUUACAGAAAAGUGCUUUUCUUUGUUAAACCAAGUGCUUCCAAUAAUUCAUCAUCGCGAUAGCAACAAUGAUUACAGUUAUCAUUGAUGGAUAUAAUGAUGAAAAUUAUCGUUUCUUUUGGUGUUCAUCUCAGUUGAACUGCAACUGUUCGUAUUGCAUUUCUGACGGAUCUUCCCUGUUGAUGGAUAAUGAGAUGAUAAAAUGUUGGUAAACAAACGUUGGCAGAAAACAAAUGAUGAGUUGCACUUUUAACUUUGCUGUUGUCAUCAGUUUGGUCAGUCUAAUGGUCAACCUAUUGAAGGUAAAAAAUAUAGAUGAACCUCUUGUUUCGUUUACUUUUGUUUCUUGUUUGCUUGUUACUUUUAAUCUUUCCUGUUUCAGUUUCAGUUCAACUGAACUUAAAUUGGAUUUUAUUGGAUUCAUUUCUGGCUAUUGAACUGUGUUCCCAUUUGAUAAAGAACAAGAAAUAUUUUAAAGAGACUAAAGUAAAAGGUCAGAUGUGCUGUUGAUGGUUAAUGUUAAUGGAUAGUAAAUCAAAGUUAGCCAGUGUCUUCAGUUAAGAUAAAUUGACUUGGAAAUUAUUGAUGAAUGUUUUUGAUAUUAACUCAUCAACAGCAUCAAUUUUAACCCAUUAUUAAUUAAUAUCCAGUUUUGCACGAUGAAACAUUGAUCAUGAUUAGACAAUAAUCAGAGUAAAUGUAUUUUUGUGUGUUUUAAUGUGAAAAGGUUAACAUUGAAAGCUGUGGCCUUAAUAAUGUGAUAAUCAAAACAAGGGAUUGAACCAGGAUAAAGGAUGGAAAGUGAUGAGCUUGAAAAUGAUGGAAAAGUUGAAAGAAGGGAAAAACUGAUGAUUAAAGAGGGUUGGAUGUUUAAUGAUGUUGGAUGAUAAAGGAUUGCUCGCAAGAAGAUGAGAAGAGAAAAGAGGAAUCUUUAGAUUCUGUAAGGUUGACUGGUUAGCAAAGGCCUACAAGAAUAAUGAACAAGUAUGAAUGAUGUGAAUGGUUGAACGUAAUUGUCUGAGCAAGAGAUGAGAUGAAUUGAAGAUGAAACAAAAAAAGAGGAGAGAAUGUAGAAAGGAAAGAAAGAGUAAAGAUGAAGAUGAAGAAUCUGUUGGGAAAUUGAUAUAACAGUUGAUGAAAGUUGCCUUCUUUUUUUGGACCUUUUUCAUGAGAAUUGGAAGGAAAAGUUUCACAGACACAAUCAUCAUGAUAAUGACGAAGAUGAAGAUGAGGAAAAAGUCGUAAAAAGUCGUUUUGGGCUCAUCAAUUGAAUAACAAUGGAUUGACAGUUGCGACAAUCUUUUACCAAUUGACUUUUAAUUGUGUCGCCAUAUUUUGCCUUUUUUUGCUUGUUCGCCUAAAUCAUUAUUGCUUUCAUCUUUAGUUGGUUGAAUCCGGGCCAAAUUGAUUUUGUUUAAGCACAGAAUUAUUAAAUAAUAUUUGGUCCCCUUCAACCAGCUGUAGAUAAGCAUUCAGUCAACAUCUUGCUUGGUUAUUGAUUGGUAAAUACUAAAUGAUAUGAGCAGCAGCAAACAACUUGAUUUAUCAUUUUUUCACAUUUUUCCCUUUUUCCUUGCUUUUACCAGUUUUUUGUGUGUCUUCAGCUCAAUGUGUAAUAUCAAUUUUUGUAGCAACUCUCUUAGGAUAUGUAAUGAUCACGC